UUGCGCUCCGAUCUCUGAGCUGG
rnacentral:miRNA from 1 species